GAGCCGGUAGCUCAGCUGGUAGAGCAACUGACUUUUAAUCAGUAGGUCCAGGGUUCGAAUCCCUGCCGGCUCA
rnacentral:tRNA from 1 species